rnacentral:rRNA from 1 species
AAGCCUACGGGGCGCAGCAGUGAGGAAUAUUGGUCAAUGGGCGCAAGCCUGAACCAGCCAAGUCGCGUGAGGGAUGACGGUCCUAUGGAUUGUAAACCUCUUUUGUCGGGGAGCAAGGCCCGCCACGUGUGGCGGGAAGGAGAGUACCCGAAGAAAAAGCAUCGGCUAACUCCGUGCCAGCAGCCGCGGUAAUACGGAGGAUGCGAGCGUUAUCCGGAUUUAUUGGGUUUAAAGGGUGCGUAGGCGGAUUUUUAAGUCAGCGGUAAAAUGUCCGGGCUCAACCCGGGUCGGCCGUUGGAACUGGG